UGCAUCGGCCGGGAAUCAAACCCGGGCCGCCCGCGUGUUCUACCACUGAACCACCGAUGG
rnacentral:tRNA from 1 species